rnacentral:rRNA from 1 species
GGGUGAGUAACGCGUGAGGAACCUGCCUUGAAGAGGGGGACAACAGUUGGAAACGACUGCUAAUACCGCAUGACGCAUAGAGGUCGCAUGAUCUUUAUGCCAAAGAUUUAUCGCUUCAAGAUGGCCUCGCGUCUGAUUAGCUGGUUGGCGGGGUAACGGCCCACCAAGGCGACGAUCAGUAGCCGGACUGAGAGGUUGAACGGCCACAUUGGGACUGAGAUACGGCCCAGACUCCCACGGGAGGCAGCAGUGGGGAAUAUUGGGCAAUGGGCGCAAGCCUGACCCAGCAACGCCGCGUGAAGGAAGAAGGCUUUCGGGUUGUAAACUUCUUUUAAGAGGGAAGAGCAGAAGACGGUACCUCUAGAAUAAGCCACGGCUAACUACGUGCCAGCAGCCGCGGUAAUACGUAGGUGGCAAGCGUUGUCCGGAUUUACUGGGUGUAAAGGGCGUGCAGCCGGGUCUGCAAGUCAGAUGUGAAAUCCAUGGGCUCAACCCAUGAACUGCAUUUGAAACUGUAGAUCUUGAGUGUCGGAGGGGCAAUCGGAAUUCCUAGUGUAGCGGUGAAAUGCGUAGAUAUUAGGAGGAACACCAGUGGCGAAGGCGGAUUGCUGGACGAUAACUGACGGUGAGGCGCGAAAGUGUGGGGAGCAAACAGGAUUAGAUACCCUGGUAGUCCACACUGUAAACGAUGAAUACUAGGUGUGCGGGGACU